CACUGUUGACCUACAUUUUAAAGAGCUGGUCAAUUUUCUAUGACCCUUCAAGCUCAAAAGCCGAAAGAAGGUUUGCAGGGAAAGAAAAAGCAGUACAUCGAUGGGAGUGAUGCUGACAAUCGUGAAGAUCACAUCAAUGAACUCAUCUCUAAGAUCAACUAACAUCACCAAUGGAAGUUCAUGUACCUUAAUGACAUCCAAAGGCUCA